CGGAACGGGUGAGUAAUGCGUGACCAACCUGCCCCAUGCUCCAGAAUAGCUCUUGGAAACGGGUGGUAAUGCUGGAUGCUCCAACUUGACGCAUGUCUUGUUGGGAAAGUGUUUAGUGGCAUGGGAUGGGGUCGCGUCCUAUCAGCUUGUAGGCGGGGUAAUGGCCCACCUAGGCUUCGACGGGUAGCCGGCCUGAGAGGGCGGACGGCCACAUUGGGACUGAGAUACGGCCCAGACUCCUACGGGAGCAGCAGUU
rnacentral:rRNA from 1 species